CACGUAGGGGGCGAGCGUUGUCCGGAUUUAUUGGGCGUAAAGAGCUCGUAGGCGGCUUGGUAAGUCAGGUGUGAAACCUCCAGGCUCAACCUGGAGACGCCACUUGAUACUGCCAUAGCUAGAGUCCGGUAGGGGAGCGUGGAAUUUCUGGUGUAGCGGUGGAAUGCGUAGAGAUCCGGAAGAACACCGGUGGCGAAGGCGGCUCGCUGGGCAGUGGCUGACGCUGAGGCGCGACAGCGUGGGGAGCAAACAGG
rnacentral:rRNA from 1 species